CCUAAUAUAUCAGCAACUCAAAGAAGAGGGGCUGACUGCAUAAAUAACCCCUUUUGACGAAACAUGCGGGUUCCCCUAGGUAUCGGAUCGGGUCACACGGGUCACUGGGUCAUGCCAUUAUACGACACCCUUUUUGGGUCCUUAUAAAGGCUAAAGCAAAGCCAAAAAAAAAUAACAUUCGGUCCUCCAUCAUAAGACAAAACCCUAAUCCCCUUUAGAAAAUUUAACCCUAAAUGCUCUCACACCCGAACGUCGAAUUCAGCGAAAAAGAAGGCCACCGUGAAAGCCAUGGACGAAAUCCCUUACUCGAACCUCCACACUUCCCAGGCAUUCGGGUUCUUAGUGGCCAACACCUAGGUAAAACCCUUUCUUUGACUUUUAUUUCAAAUAGAUUUGCAUAAGAAACAAGAAAUAAAUAAGAAAGGAAAAAAAUAGAAACGCAAAUACAAAGAAGAAUACCAGAAAAAAAAUAAAGUAACCUUUAGAACUUUGAGUCUGAUUCUUUUUAUUGAUUUCUCUUUUGUGUGUAUUUUGUUAUAUUCCCAAAAAAAGAUCCCCCUCUUUUACAUAUGUUUACGAAGGCUUUUAUAGCCCUUUUUUACAACGUGUUUUACGCGUUUGUAGGUACGAUUGAGCACGUCUCUAAUGUGGCGUGGUGGAUGAGCGUAAGACGUAGAAGGGUGCGCAACGUGCGGUGCCUGGAGACUGCUUCGAUUGCGACGGCUGAAGGUUGGCUGUUAGGGUUCUGCCGAAAAUGUUUUUUUUUUUUGGUUUUGGGCUAAAAAUUUGGGCUAGGGUUCAGGUGUUUUAGGAUUGGGUUUGUAUUGGGCUUGGUUGUAUUGGUUCUGAGGGUAUUUUGUUUAAAUUUAGUAUUAGUUUGGGCCCCGGGCUAAAAUUGGGCCUAACUGAUGUUUUAUCUAUUAAACUAUUAAAUCCUUUACUGAGGGCCGAAAUAUUAUUUUCUUGCUUAGAAUCUAUAUGCAUAAUAUGACUGCAGGUUUUAUCUUUAUAUAAACAAUCUGUUUCUUCCCUGUUACUUAUCUUGGUGCCUAAAACCGUCUGUUAUAUUAUUUUGUCUUAAUCACAAAGGCCUUAUGUCUCUCACUCAGACUUAAACAGGCAAAAGUAAGACAAAAUAACAGAUAUAUGGGUUUCAAGAUAAAUAACCACAGAAUUAACGAAAUUGCAAAUUAAGGAUAAAAACUUAC
rnacentral:lncRNA from 1 species